CUGUACUUUGUUCCCCGGUUCCCCGUUUCCUGCUCCCGGUUGCCCGUUUUCCUUCUCCCAGCUCCCUGCUCUCCUUUUCCUGCUCCCCGCUCCCGGUUCCCCGUUUCCUCCUCCCAGUUCCUUGCUCCCGGUUCCCCAUGCCAGGUUUCCCGUUUCCCGUUCCCCGCUUUCCUGCUCCCGGUUCCCCGUUCCCGGUUCCCUGUUUUCCUUCUCCCGGUUCCCCAGCAAGGCCGGGCCAUGCAUCCCGGUCCCCGCUCUCCCUCCUCCACCGGGCCCGGUCGGAGGAUGCUUCCCAUGGUGCUAUCGGCGAACGACUGAUAACGAAUCCCAAGGCCAACACCGGGAGCUGCCGGUAACGAACCCCCCUCCCUCCGCUCAGCCCCGGUACCGGGCGGCAGCCUGGGCUCCGGUACAACCGGGUGGGAAUCCCCCGGCCCCCUCCUCCGCCUGGUUUCCCCCUUAUCGCUCCCGCUAUCGUUCACAAUCGCGACAGGAGCUGCGCUGGGGUGGGUCCCAACCGGCGAGGGGAGGGAAACACCGGGUUCCAACCGCCCCCCCCCUCCCCAAACCGGGACGUUCUUCCCACCCGGCCUCGACUUAAUUAACAUCGACAGCCGCGAUAAUAACAAUAAAUCAUUAUCGCGCCAUUAUUAGCGCGGUUGGUUGUGGUUUGUCGCGGUUAUCGCUGUCCUUGAGGUCAUUAUUCCCGGUUUUCCUCCCGCCUGGGCCGUGGUAACGGGAUCCAGCAGGGGAUAACGGCCCGGGAAUACCGGUGCGGGGCCCUCGGAGGGAAGGAGAAGCCCGGGAUUCCUUCUUUUCCCCGUUUUACAUCCCGGGAAAGCGGCCCGCGCCCCGAAUCCCGGCGGCUGGGAGCGAAGCAGUCAGGGGCGCUGCAGCCGGUACAGAACGAGGACAGCGGACACGGGUGGGUGUGCAAGGACACCGUCACGGUGAAGGGACACGAGUGGGUCUGCGUGGACGCCUCGAAAUGAUGUACAGACACAGCUUCAGCUGCAUCCUGCUGCAUCCCUGCAGUGAAGGCUGAAAGCACACAGAUGUCCCAGGAAGGGACACGGAGCCACAAGCUGUGCCGAACCACCUGGACACCAGGAUGGCAACCAAAAAAGGGAGAUGAGAAGGAUGAACAAGCUCCAGGGCUCGGCUUCUCCAAAGCGCCGGUUAUUCUGCACCAGAA